AGUCCACUUUAGUAAGUCUAACUUAAAAUGAAAACUUGUUUAAGCAAAAGAAGCCAGCUAAGUUAAUUCAACAUAACACUGUUGAGUGAAUGGCACAAUCACCUCUAUACAAGAAUGUCCUAGAUGGGUUUCUGUAGCUAGCUAAUGAGCUAGCCAAUUAACAAACUGCCACCUGACAGACAUACAUUAAGAUAGCGAUUUAAUUCUAGAAUUGUAGUUUUGGGGAUCUCAGCAAAUGCAACAUUACAUUGCCAUAUAAUACAUUUCAAUAUUUGAUAACUAAAUGGGGGUGAUUUGCCUGACAGUCCUUGAAGAUGCAUGUAAAAGCUCAAUUACUAAUAAAUAACCAUUUUAUAUAAAACUAAUAAUGCUUUCUUUACCACACCCAGAGUUUGGUAUGUGUUGAAUGAUAUCACGUUGAUAUCACGUGAUGGUUGUCGUUUUCCAUUGGUAAUAUAAUAUUACAGAACCAAGGUAUGGCAUGGUGGCUUAGGUGCUUGCACUGCCACCUCACAGCAAGAAGGUCAUCGGUUCAAUUCCCGCAUGGGGAGCUGUUGGCUCUGGGGUGCUCAGGUGGGCUAUCUCCCGGGCCUUUCUGUGUGGAGUUUGCAUGUUCUCCCCGUGUUCACAAGGGGUUUCCUCCACUAAGAACCCCAACAGAAAAAACAUGC
ensembl:lncRNA